GACGAACGCUGGCGGCGUGCUUAACACAUGCCAGUCGAGCGGAAAGGCCCUUCGGGGUCCUCGAGCGGCGAACGGGUGAGUAACACGUGAGUAAUCUGCCCUUGGCUUUGGGAUAACUACCGGAAACGGUGGCUAAUACCGGAUACGACAACCGUCUGCAUGGGCUGGUUGUGGAAAGUUUUUUCGGCCAGGGAUGUGCUCGCGGCCUAUCAGCUUGUUGGUGGGGUAAUGGCCUAGCAAGGCUUCGACGGGUAGCCGGCCUGAGAGGGUGACCGGCCACAGUGGGACGGGGACACGGUACAGAGUCCUACGGGAGGCAGCAGUAGGGAAUAUUGCGGAGUGGGCGAGAGGCUGACGGAGCAACGACGCGUGUGUGAGGACGGUCUUAGGAUCGGAGAACUGGGUUAUGAGGGAAGAAGAGAGGUGUAAGUAACUGUGCACAUCUGGACGGUAACUAAUCAGAAAGCCACGGCUAACUACGUG
rnacentral:rRNA from 1 species